UGCCAGCCGCCGCGGUAAUACGGAGGGAGCAAGCGUUGCUCGGAAUUAUUGGGCGUAAAGGGCGCGCAGGCGGUCUUGUCCGUCAGGUGUGAAAGCCCCGGGCUUAACCUGGGAACUGCAUUUGAUACUGACAGGCUAGAGUAUGGGAGAGAGAAGUGGAAUUCCACAUGUAGCGGUGAAAUGCGUAGAUAUGUGGAGGAACAUCAGUGGCGAAGGCGACUUCUUGGCCCAAUACUGACGCUCAGGUGCGAAAGCGUGGGGAGCAAACAGGAUUAGAUA
rnacentral:rRNA from 1 species